CUUCGUUUGUUGAUCUCUCACUGCUGGGUCUUCUUUUUCCUCAACCCAACUGCUUUAUUUUUACUCAUGACAUGGAAAAGUUCCUCCUGUAUCUUUCUUGCAGCUCACCUUUUGGAAACAGAUUGACAUGGAUUGGUGGCCUUUGCUUCCUGUUCCUGAAGAGUGACUUAUGCUUGUGCUAAGAAUGAGGUGCCAAGGACAGCAACCGAAUGGCUUCAGAAUCAGGCUCCCACUCUUUUGGCCAUGGCAACAGGAGAGAAGGAUUCACAGGAACGAUCUGAACCUCAGAUAGCCUUUGGAGGUUUUGCUCUUUACUAUUAUUUCCUAUCAAUAUUCAAAUAGGUAUAAAUGUGCUUCACAAAAAUCAUAAAACAUUCACACACGAAUAUAUAAAAGGGAUUAUCAGCUUCAUACAAGAAGAAAACAAAUCUGUAGGGAUUCUGUUUGCUUAUUCUAGCUACAAGCCAAUAUCAAUAUAUAAAGCGAGAUUGAGAAACUCUACAAUAAUACUUUCUCUUUACUGAAAGAAGUGUCUUUCCAACUGUGCUAUCUGCAUGAUUGACUAUAUUGGAGGUGGGAUGGAUUAAAGAGGCUAGAGAUAUUCUGAGAGUUAUAAAAUAUUUUGAAGGGAAAAGCAUAUUGUCUGACAAUCACCGCAGGUUCUGGCCUUCCCUAUCACAGCCCCUUUGACUCUAUAUCAAAGAACUAACAGUAUCUUUAAUCUCUUGGAAUAAACUGGAGAAGCUCUCCCCAGCAUGCACUUUUCCUAGCCUGUUAUUAUAAGGCAUGUAAUAAGACAUCUCACACAGGAAACCUUAUUUCCCAGAAUCAGAAGAUUUUUAGAGGGCAUAAACAUCCCAAAGGCCCAGUCAACAUUUUCAAUAUUUAUUUAAAGUUAUGAAACCUUUU
rnacentral:lncRNA from 1 species